GAAAGUAAUGAAGAUGUUCUUUAGAGGUCUUUUAGGAUUAAUUUAACUGAUUGAUUCAGCUAGGCAAUUAUCCUCCUCAUUCCUCACAACUCCACUGUCUCCCUUCUGAAGCUGUUUACUUGGUAGGGAGAAUGACCUUCCCAAACAGGCUGUCAUUGUUUUGUGGUCAAGGGUAUAUAAGUAGCUGCAUUCCACUCUUAGAAACUCAAAAGGAGCCCUUACCAUCCACUUGCAGGAGAGAGGCUUUAUUAUAGCACUUUGUCAG
rnacentral:snRNA from 1 species